rnacentral:rRNA from 1 species
CCUACGGGAGGCAGCAGUGAGGAAUAUUGGUCAAUGGGCGUAAGACUGAACCAGCCAAGCCGCGUGAGGGAUGAAGGUACAAUGGAUCGUAAACCUCUUUUAUCAGGGAAUAAAGACCGGGACGCGUCCCGUGUUGUAUGUACCUUAUGAAUAAGCAUCGGCUAACUCCGUGCCAGCAGCCGCGGUAAUACGGAGGAUCCGAGCGUUAUCCGGAUUUAUUGGGUUUAAAGGGUGCGUAGGCGGCCUUUUAAGUCAGCGGUGAAAGCCCGGGGCUCAACCCCAGGAUCGCCGUUGAAACUGGGAGGCUUGAGUAUGAGUGAGGCAGGCGGAAUGCGUGGUGUAGCGGUGAAAUGCAUAGAUAUCGCGCAGAACCCCGAUUGCGAAGGCAGCCUGCCGAGCAAAGACUGACGCUGAGGCACGAAAGCGUGGGGAUCGAACAGGAUUAGAUACCCGAGUAGUC